AUUGAACGCUGGCGGCAUGCUUUACACAUGCAAGUCGAACGGCAGCGCGGGCUUCGGCCUGGCGGCGAGUGGCGAACGGGUGAGUAAUGCAUCGGAACGUGCCCAGUAGUGGGGGAUAGCCCGGCGAAAGCCGGAUUAAUACCGCAUACGACCUGAGGGUGAAAGCGGGGGACCGAAAGGCCUCGCGCUAUUGGAGCGGCCGAUGUCGGAUUAGCUAGUUGGUGGGGUAAAGGCUUACCAAGGCGACGAUCCGUAGCUGGUCUGAGAGGACGACCAGCCACAAUGGGGGCGGGAACCCGCCCCGGCGCCCGAGGGGAGGCAGCGGGGGGGAAUUUUGGAAAAGGGGGGCAACCCUGACCCAGCCUGGCCGCGGGGGGGAAGAAGGCCUUGGGGUGGGAAACCGUUUUUGUGGGGGAAAAAAUCCUUGGGGUUAAACCCCCGGGGGGAGGACGGAACGGGAAAAAAAAGCACCGGCUAACUAGGG
rnacentral:rRNA from 1 species